rnacentral:rRNA from 1 species
AAGAGGAAGGACGGUACCUCAUGAAUAAGUCACGGCUAACUACGUGCCAGCAGCCGCGGUAAUACGUAGGUGACGAGCGUUAUCCGGAAUUACUGGGCGUAAAGCGUACGCAGGCGGUUUUGUAAGACAGAUGUGAAAUCCCCCGGGCUUAACCUGGGGAACUGCGUUUGUGACUGCAAGGCUAGAGUACGGCAGAGGGGGGUGGAAUUCCUGGUGUAGCAGUGAAAUGCGUAGAGAUCAGGAGGAACACCGAUGGCGAAGGCAGCCCCCUGGGCCUGUACUGACGCUCAUGCACGAAAGCGUGGGGAGCAAACAGGAUUAGAUACCCUGGUAGUCCACGCCCUAAACGAUGUCGACUAGUCGUUCGGAGCAGCAAUGCACUGAGUGACGCAGCUAACGCGUGAAGUCGACCGCCUGGGGAGUACGGCCGCAAGGUUAAAACUCAAAGGAAUUGACGGGGACCCGCACAAGCGGUGGAUGAUGUGGAUUAAUUCGAUGCAAC